rnacentral:rRNA from 1 species
AGAGUUUGAUCCUGGCUCAGGACGAACGCUGGCGGCACGCUUAACACAUGCAAGUCGAACGAGAGAAGAGGAGCUUGCUUUUCUGAUCUAGUGGCGGACGGGUGAGUAACACGUGAGCAAUCUGCCUUUCAGAGGGGGAUACCGAUUGGAAACGAUCGUUAAUACCGCAUAACAUAAUUGAACCGCAUGAUUUGAUUAUCAAAGAUUUAUCGCUGAAAGAUGGGCUCGCGUCUGAUUAGCUAGUUGGUAAGGUAACGGCUUACCAAGGCGACGAUCAGUAGCCGGACUGAGAGGUUGAUCGGCCACAUUGGGACUGAGACACGGCCCAGACUCCUACGGGAGGCAGCAGUGGGGAAUAUUGCACAAUGGAGGAAACUCUGAUGCAGCGAUGCCGCGUGAGGGAAGAAGGUUUUAGGAUUGUAAACCUCUGUCUUCAGGGACGAAAAAAGACGGUACCUGAGGAGGAAGCUCCGGCUAACUACGUGCCAGCAGCCGCGGUAAUACGUAGGGAGCGAGCGUUGUCCGGAAUUACUGGGUGUAAAGGGAGCGUAGGCGGGAUCGCAAGUCAGAUGUGAAAACUAUGGGCUUAACCCAUAAACUGCAUUUGAAACUGUGGUUCUUGAGUGAAGUAGAGGUAAGCGGAAUUCCUAGUGUAGCGGUGAAAUGCGUAGAUAUUAGGAGGAACAUCAGUGGCGAAGGCGGCUUACUGGGCUUUAACUGACGCUGAGGCUCGAAAGCGUGGGGAGCAAACAGGAUUAGAUACCCUGGUAGUCCACGCCGUAAACGAUGAUUACUAGGUGUGGGGGGACUGACCCCUUCCGUGCCGCAGCAAACGCAAUAAGUAAUCCACCUGGGGAGUACGACCGCAAGGUUGAAACUCAAAGGAAUUGACGGGGGCCCGCACAAGCAGUGGAGUAUGUGGAUUAAUUCGAAGCAACGCGAAGAACCUUACCAGGUCUUGACAUCGUAUGCAUAGCUCAGAGAUGAGUGAAAUCUCUUCGGAGACAUAUAGACAGGUGGUACAUGGUUGUCGUCAGCUCGUGUCGUGAGAUGUUGGGUUAAGUCCCGCAACGAGCGCAACCCUUACUGUUAGUUGCUACGCAAGAGCACUCUAGCAGGACUGCCGUUGACAAAACGGAGGAAGGUGGGGAUGACGUCAAAUCAUCAUGCCCCUUAUGACCUGGGCCUCACACGUACUACAAUGGCUGUCAACAGAGGGAAGCAAAGCCGCGAGGUGGAGCGAACCCCUAAAAGCAGUCUUAGUUCGGAUUGUAGGCUGCAACCCGCCUACAUGAAGUCGGAAUUGCUAGUAAUCGCAGAUCAGCAUGCUGCGGUGAAUACGUUCCCGGGCCUUGUACACACCGCCCGUCACGCCAUGGGAGUCGGUAACACCCGAAGCCUGUAGUCUAACCGCAAGGAGGACGCAGUCGAAGGUGGGAUUGAUGACUGGGGUGAAGUCGUAACAAGGUA